AUGCUUUUCUUUGUACAAGAGGAUGACCUCCUGGUAUACGUCCUGGAUGGACUUGUUGUGCAUGCGGUACAUGUUGAGGAUGGCGAGGAAGGCCUUGUAGACGUGGUCCUGGGCCUGGAACCUGGCCUUGAUCUUGUUGACGAAGUUGAUGGCCUCCAUGAAGUCGACGGGCUGCUUCUUGUCGCCGGCGGCGCCGCCGUCGAUGUCCUGCAGCUUGAUGGCGAAGCCCUUGGGCAGGAAGGCGUUGAAGCCGAGGAUGAGCUCCGGGUAGCCGCUGAAGAGCGUCUUCACCCGGAUGAUGACGCCCGCCGUGUCGAUCCUGCGAGCAUCACAAAGGCAGACGGGAAGGGGGAAAACUUAAAUCGACGAAUCCCGGCCGGAAUCCCCGCCGGAAUGGAGCGAUUGAGAUGCGUGGAGGGAUGGAGGGGAGGGAGAUGGGGACGGAUGCAGACCUGGCGCUCUUGA
rnacentral:rRNA from 1 species